rnacentral:rRNA from 1 species
AUUGAACGCUGGCGGAAUGCUUUACACAUGCAAGUCGAACGGCAGCACGGGGGCAACCCUGGUGGCGAGUGGCGAACGGGUGAGUAAUACAUCGGAACGUGCCCAGUCGUGGGGGAUAGCGUAGCGAAAGUUACGCUAAUACCGCAUACGAUCUACGGAUGAAAGCGGGGGACCGUAAGGCCUCGCGCGAUUGGAGCGGCCGAUAUCAGAUUAGGUAGUUGGUGGGGUAAAGGCCCACCAAGCCAACGAUCUGUAGCUGGUCUGAGAGGACGACCAGCCACACUGGAACUGAGACACGGUCCAGACUCCUACGGGAGGCAGCAGUGGGGAAUUUUGGACAAUGGGCGAAAGCCUGAUCCAGCCAUUCCGCGUGCAGGAUGAAGGCCCUCGGGUUGUAAACUGCUUUUGUACAGAACGAAAAGGUUUCUACUAAUACUAGGAGCUCAUGACGGUACUGUAAGAAUAAGCACCGGCUAACUACGUGCCAGCCGCCGCGGUAA